rnacentral:rRNA from 1 species
UACGAAGGGGGCUAGCGUUGUUCGGAAUUACUGGGCGUAAAGCGCACGUAGGCGGAUAUUUAAGUCAGGGGUGAAAUCCCAGAGCUCAACUCUGGAACUGCCUUUGAUACUGGGUAUCUGGAGUAUGGAAGAGGUGAGUGGAAUUCCGAGUGUAGAGGUGAAAUUCGUAGAUAUUCGGAGGAACACCAGUGGCGAAGGCGGCUCACUGGUCCAUUACUGACGCUGAGGUGCGAAAGCUAGGGGAGCAAACGGG